AUAACUCUGGUGGUUGAGCAGAGGUC
rnacentral:piRNA from 1 species